rnacentral:rRNA from 1 species
GAGUUUGAUCAUGGCUCAGGAUGAAUGCUGGCGGCGUGCCUUAAGCAUGCAAGUCGAAUGGUCGCAAGACAAUGGCGGACGGGUGAGUAACGCGUGAGAAUCUACCUCGAAGUGGGGCAUAGCCCUCCGAAAGGAGGGGUAAUACCGCAUGUGAUAGUAAUAUCAAAGUCGCAAGACGCUUUGAGAUGAGCUCGCGUAAGAUUAGCUAGUUGGUGGGGUAAAGGCCUACCAAGGCGACGAUCUUUAGCUGGACUGAGAGGUUGGUCAGCCACAAUGGGACUGAGACACGGCCCAUACAUCUACGGAUGGCAGCAACUGGGAAUAUUCGACAAUGGGCGAAAGCCUGAUCGAGCGACGCCGCGUGGGGGAUUGAAGGCCUUCGGGUUGUAAACCCCUUUUAUGUGGGAAGAUUAUGACGGUACCACAAGAAUAAACACCUGCUAACUACGUGCCACAAGCCUCGGUAAUACGUAGGGUGCAAGCAUUAUCCGGAUUCAUUGGGCGUAAAGAGUUGCGUAGGCGGUCCGAUAGAUUUUACUUUAAACGCUAUAGCUUAACUAUAGUUUCGGGUAAAAUAUCAUCGGACUUGAAAUAUAGAGAGGGUACUGGAACCGAUCAUGGAGCAGUGAAAUGCGUUGAUAUGAUCGGGAACACCAAAGGCGUAGGCAGGUACCUAGCUAUUAUUUGACGCUGAGGCACGAAAGCAUGGGGAGCGAAGCAGAUUAGAGACCUGCGUAGUCCAUGCCGUAAACGAUCCUUGCUAGAUGGAAGACAUUAGUUUUCUGUCGUAAGCUAACGCGUUAAGCAAGGCGCCUGGGGAGUACGAACGCAAGUUUAAAACUCAAAGGAAUUGACGGGGAGGCGCACAAGCAGUGGAGCAUGUGGUUUAAUUCGAUACAAAGCGAAACACCUCACCAGGGUUUGACAUGUAUCUGCAAAUCCCGUGAAAGCGGGACUCCUUCGAGGGUGAUACACAGAUGCUGCAUGGUUGCCGUCAGCUCGUGGCGUGAGCUGUACCGUUAAGUCGGGAAACGAGCGCAACCCACACCGUAUGUUAAAUAUUCAUACGGAACUGCCCCCUUUUGGGGGAGGAAGGCGUGGAUGACGACAAAUCCGCACGGCUCUUACAUCCUGGGCUACACACAUCCUACAAUGGCGAAUAACAACGAGUUGCAAACCGGUAACGGCAAGCUAAUCUCUAAAAUUUCGCCCCAGUUCAGAUUGAGGGCUGCAAUUCGCCCUCAUGAAGUCGGAAUUGCUAGUAAUCGCAAAUCAGCAGGUUGCGGUGAAUACGUUCUCGCCUCUUGCACACACCGCCCGUC